UGGCUCAGUUGGUAGAGCGUGGUGUUUGCAACACCAGGGUUUGUGGGUUCGAUUCCCAC
rnacentral:tRNA from 1 species